CCUCAUUGGUAUUCACAGGAACAUUUAUAAAGGCUCCCAACAUUAGAGUCUAAAAUUGCUCUCUGCCCACCUUGGAGUGCUCAUCUGGUGUUGCUGCGUCAGGACUGGCUGCUACAGCACAACUCCUGUCACUGCAGACACGGGAGCUCAUUUUAAACAGGUCAUUUUUAAUGCAUCAGAAUGCCAACCACACACAGCCACUGUUCUUUCAGCUGGGACGAAGCACUGGUUUUUUGUGAGGAGACUGCCUCACCUCCAGGGCAGGUCACAGACCCCGAAAGAAAACACUGCAGAUCUGCCAAACC